GAUGAACGCUAGCGAUAGGCCUAACACAUGCAAGUCGAGGGGCAGCACAAGGUAGCUUGCUAUCUGGGUGGCGACUGGCGCACGUGUGCGUAACGCGUAUGCAACUUGCUCUAUACAGGAGGAUAACCCGUCGAAAGACGGACUAAUACUGCGUAUGCUCACAACUUGGCAUCAAGUGGUGAGGAAAGAAAUUCGGUAUAGGAUAGGCAUGCGUCCCAUUAGCUUGUUGGUGAGGUAACGGCUCACCAAGGCAACGAUGGGUAGGGGAACUGAGAGGUUCAUCCCCCACACUGGUACUGAGACACGGACCAGACUCCUACGGGAGGCAGCAGUGAGGAAGAUUGGGCAAGGGGCGCGAGCCUGAACCAGCCAAGUCGCGUGAAGGAUGACUGUCUUAUGGAUUGUAAACUUCUUUUAGACGGGAAUAACAAGAGUAACGUGUGACUCCCUGCAGGUACCGUAUGAAUAAGCAUCGGCUAACUCCGUG
rnacentral:rRNA from 1 species